GCUGAACUUAAGCAUAUCAAUAAGCGGAGGAAAAGAAACCAACAGGGAUUGCCUCAGUAACGGCGAGUGAAGCGGCAAAAGCUCAGAUUUGAAAUCUGGCGUCAUAUUGGCGUCCGAGUUGUAAUCUGUAGAGGAGUAUUCGAGUGUGGCGCUGGCUUAAGUUCCUUGGAACAGGACGUCAUAGAGGGUGAGAACCCCGUUAACGGCCUUUGUCUUAUGCUCAUGUGAAUCUCCUUCAACGAGUCGAGUUGUUUGGGAAUGCAGCUCUAAAUGGGUGGUAAAUUCCAUCUAAAGCUAAAUACUGGCAAGAGACCGAUAGCGCACAAGUAGAGUGAUCGAAAGAUGAAAAGAACUCUGAACAGAGAGUUAAAUAGUACGUGAAAUUGUUGAAAGGGAAGCACUUGCUACCAGACACGCCUGUAGUUGAUCAACCUUCAUUCUUGAUGGUGCACUCAGCUAUAGGUGGGUCAGCAUCAGUUAUGGCGGUGGGAUAAAGACUUGGGGAAUGUGGCUUCUUUCGGGAAGUGUUAUAGCCCCGGGUGUAAUACCAUCUGCUGUGACUGAGGACCGCGCUUCGGCGAGGAUGCUGGCAUAAUGGUCGUAAGUGACCCGUCUUGAAACACGGACCAAGGAGUCUAACAUCUAUGCGAGUGUUUGGGUGUCAAAACCCUUACGCGGAAUGAAAGUGAAUGUAGGUGGGAACCGCAAGGUGCACCAUCGACCGAUCCUGAUGUCUUCGGAUGGAUUUGAGUAGGAGCAUAGCUGUUGGGACCCGAAAGAUGGUGAACUAUGCCUGAAUAGGGUGAAGCCAGAGGAAACUCUGGUGGAGGCUCGCAGCGGUUCUGACGUGCAAAUCGAUCGUCAAAUUUGGGUAUAGGGGCGAAAGACUAAUCGAACCAU
rnacentral:rRNA from 1 species